CUGAAUCUCCGUGGAAAUGCCGAAGAGAUAAAAUACAAGUGGGAUUUAACAAAUAAAUAGUUGCCCUUCUAUUUUAGAGAUGUAUUAACGCAUUGUUGAUUAUUUACAAACUGCGCGGCUGAAUGAUUAUAUCGGUGGAUCACCAAUUUGCUGUAUUUUCAGUCGUGUUUGGGAAAAUACACCAUGACGCAGCACGUCAGGUCUUACUGCUGGCUGCAUGGAUUACUGGUGUCGGACCCCAUCGCUGGCACAGCUGGGGAGCAAGCCCCUUCGUCCCCUCCUGCUGCCCUUCCCCGAAACCCUCUGGUACCCGAUGGGCUUCCCAGAUGUCCGUGUCAGAAGUGCAGAAGGACGUUGGAAUGGCUGGAAACAACACCGGCGGGGCACCUCGUGGGCCUCCCCCUGGGUGACCUGGAGAGAGAGCCCUGGAGCUGGGGAGACAGGAUCCUGCUCCACACCCUCCUUGCCUUCACAGGUCCUCAGCACACCACUGUUUCAUUCUGAGAUCGUCAAGAUCAAACGAAGACUGAAAACGGACGAUUUUGUUUUGCGGUCUCUUCUAAAGGCAUUGGUCAAGUUAAUGAUUAUUUGGCAGAAAAACUUCAUUAAUUGAAGGGAUUUAAUCUAAAUGGUUUUUUUUUUUUAUUAUUGGGCCCAAGCAAGAAUGUCCCUGAUGGACUUACACAGGAAGUCACAUUACUGGUACAUUUUGGAGCACCUUGUCAGAACUGAGCCGUGAGCACAUUCUUGUUUUCUGUCAUUUGAAAUUUUUACAUGAUACUUUUAACAAACACGUUUUCUGUUUUCCCUUUUGUUAUCUUUGUAUCUGCGGGUGUUAUGUUUCUCAAAACAAAUGACUUAUGAAAAGAUUUAUCUCAAGAAAAGAAGAGGGGCAAUAAGAUUAUUAGCACCAUCUACCACUGUGGGGGAGUGGAGCAUUCUGUCCCAAAAAUGUCCUUAAACUCUUUUGAAAGAGCCAGCGGCUCUGUGUAUGGUUAAUUAUUUUUUCUAAACUGUCUGAGAUAUUCCUAAAUAAAUGUUUCAGAUAUUUUCUGAGUGGCAAGAAGACGACAUUGUCGACGGGCUGCAGGUUUGCCCUGUGUACGUGAGGAACAGCUGACGGUAUUUCACAGAUUUGGUGAGGCUGAAAUGAUUUAUCUGUCCGCAGGAAAAAAAAAAAACCGGGAUCUUGAUUUCUAUAUCCUGUGAGAGCCAGGGCAUAACGAGGAGAGGAAAGAAGUGAUAGACCAGCUUUCCUGCUCAGGCCGGCUGCUGGGGGACACUCCCAGCUCUGCCUGGCUUGUUUGGCAGGUGAUAAGCCCGACAUCGGGCACUCAGCCAGCCUGGAGAGGGGAGAGUGGAGGGCCAGGCAGCGCGGGGCUCUUCCGGGAAUCCUGCGGCUCGGGUUUCACUCCAGACGGACUGAUGGCCCAACUUCUGCCUCAGAGCCCUACAUACAGUAACUUCUUUCUACAAAUAAGCAAAGCAUGGAAGAAAAACAUCAGCAAUGUGCGAGAUGUGAAAUAUAAAGCUUUUUAACCAGAUUUUUAUACUGCCUCGUUAUGCGUCUGAUUGUCUGUUUUUAUUCCUUACCAGUGCAUUUGAAUUAAACAGAAUCACUAAUAUGUUGGAGGUUUUUUGUGUUAAAUAUGGUACCGCUUUGUUCUAACAAAACUCAUUUCUCACAAUGCAAAUCAUAUUUUGCUACAAAUUU